CCGGGGGCUGUCCUUAGAUUAGGGGUCCUGUACUCGCAAUGUUAAGUUCCUGGCUUUUAAUGUAACAUUACCAACUGAAUUCCAAAUGACUGGUUUAACAUCUUGGGAUCAGCAGUGGCACACCUUCCUGAUGUUGAAUUCAGCUCACAUAAUGCUAAUUUAGGCCUCUAUUUUAUGUUUUUGGUUAAGCUUAUCAUACGAUUUAAUAUUUUUGGAUACUAUUGAAUUUUUGUUAUAUUAAAAUAUCAAAACUAUAUCAUAUAAAAAUUGUCAAUACAUUAAAUAUUUGAUUUCCAGUGAUAAACGUAUGAUUGUUACAUGCCUAUAACUCAUGCUCGCAAGGUUGUUGUUGUUUUUUUUAACAAUUUUGCUCUGAUUAACAUAACACUACUUUAGGCACAAAAAAACAUGCUUAGUAGAAUAUUAAUGUAUGCUUGUAAUCACCAUUGAAAGGUAAGGAGCAAGGUUAUAUUUUCAACCAAUAAUCUAAAAGUGC